rnacentral:rRNA from 1 species
GACGAACGCUGGCGGCGUGCUUAACACAUGCAAGUCGAACGGAAAGGCCCUGCUUUUGUGGGGUGCUCGAGUGGCGAACGGGUGAGUAACACGUGAGUAACCUGCCCUUGACUUUGGGAUAACUUCAGGAAACUGGGGCUAAUACCGGAUAGGAGCUCCUGCUGCAUGGUGGGGGUUGGAAAGUUUCGGCGGUUGGGGAUGGACUCGCGGCUUAUCAGCUUGUUGGUGGGGUAGUGGCUUACCAAGGCUUUGACGGGUAGCCGGCCUGAGAGAGUGACCGGCCACAUUGGGACUGAGAUACGGUCCAGACUCCUACGGGAGGCAGCAGUGGGGAAUAUUGCACAAUGGGCGGAAGCCUGAUGCAGCAACGCCGCGUGCGGGAUGACGGCCUUCGGGUUGUAAACCGCUUUCGCCUGUGACGAAGCGUGAGUGACGGUAAUGGGUAAAGAAGCACCGGCUAACUACGUG